rnacentral:rRNA from 1 species
CAGUCGCCGCGGGAAUACGUAGGGUGCAAGCGUUAAUCGGAAUUACUGGGCGUAAAGCGUGCGCAGGCGGUUCGUUAAGACAGAUGUGAAAUCCCCGGGCUUAACCUGGGAACUGCAUUUGUGACUGGCGGGCUAGAGUAUGGCAGAGGGGGGUAGAAUUCCACGUGUAGUAGUGAAAUGCGUAGAGAUGUGGAGGAAUACCGAUGGCGAAGGCAGCCCCCUGGGCCAAUACUGACGCUCAUGCACGGAAGCGUGGGGAGCAAACAGGAUUAGAUACCCCCGUAGUCCCUGUCUCUUAUAC